rnacentral:lncRNA from 10 species
CAGCCCUGUAGGAGACACCUCCAGAGAAAGUAACAGCUCUCAAUUGAUUAGCUGAGGAAGACACCAGACAAAUGAGUUACACUGUUUUGGACUCCCCAACACAACCCAGCCACCGGCUGAAUGCCACCAAAUUACCUUCUAGUUAAAGGUUUAUGGAGCAAACGAAUCACCUAUUCAAUAUCUGCUUGAAUUUCUGACUCAAAAUACAUCAGGAGCAUGGUCAUAUAAAUUGUUAUUUAUUCAAAUUAUGGAAUAUUAUAAAGCAGUGAAAAACAAGUUAACUAUAACCAGAUGGAAUAACUUUGAAGCCUCAGGGGCUGGAUCCUGACAUGAACCAGACACCUCCAGAAUUCUAUCCCAAGCAAAAGAUUAUUUCAAGGCCAGAACUCACUCCCUGCUGGAGACUGACUACAAGAUCCACUGAGAUUGAUGUGUAACCUGAUUGGGCCCACAGUGAUGCUAGCCCCUUCACCAGAUGGAACAAUAAUUCCAGACAAGCCAUCAGAGCAGGUCACACCACUUGACACCUU